rnacentral:rRNA from 1 species
UACGUAGGGUGCGAGCGUUGUCCGGAAUUACUGGGCGUAAAGGGCUCGUAGGUGGUUUGUCGCGUCGUCUGUGAAAUUCCGGGGCUUAACUCCGGGCGUGCAGGCGAUACGGGCAUAACUUGAGUACUGUAGGGGUAACUGGAAUUCCUGGUGUAGCGGUGAAAUGCGCAGAUAUCAGGAGGAACACCGAUGGCGAAGGCAGGUUACUGGGCAGUUACUGACGCUGAGGAGCGAAAGCAUGGGUAGCGAACAGGAUU